CCGAUUUUUGAGCGGGGGACAACAUUUGGAAACGAAUGCUAAUACCGCAUAACAACUUUGAACACAAGUUUUAAGUUUGAAAGAUGCAAUUCGCAUCACUCAAAGAUGAUCCCGCGUUGUAUUAGCUAGUUGGUGAGGUAAAGGCUCACCAAGGCGAUGAUACAUAGCCGACCUGAGAGGGUGAUCGGCCACAUUGGGACUGAGACACGGCCCAAACUCCUACGGGAGGCAGCAGUAGGGAAUCUUCGGCAAUGGACGAAAGUCUGACCGAGCAACGCCGCGUGAGUGAAGAAGGUUUUCGGAUCGUAAAACUCUGUUGGUAGAGAAGAACGUUGGUGAGAGUGGAAAGCUCAUCAAGUGACGGUAACUACCCAGAAAGGGACGGCUAACUACGUGCCAGCAGCCGCGGUAAUACGUAGGUCCCGAGCGUUGUCCGGAUUUAUUGGGCGUAAAGCGAGCGCAGGUGGUUUAUUAAGUCUGGUGUAAAAGGCAGUGGCUCAACCAUUGUAUGCAUUGGAAACUGGUAGACUUGAGUGCAGGAGAGGAGAGUGGAAUUCCAUGUGUAGCGGUGAAAUGCGUAGAUAUAUGGAGGAACACCGGUGGCGAAAGCGGCUCUCUGGCCUGUAACUGACACUGAGGCUCGAAAGCGUGGGGAGCAAACAGGAUUAGAUACCCUGGUAGUCCACGCCGUAAACGAUGAGUGCUAGAUGUAGGGAGCUAUAAGUUCUCUGUAUCGCAGCUAACGCAAU
rnacentral:rRNA from 1 species